rnacentral:rRNA from 1 species
AUUUUUUUGUUGUAAUUAAAAAUGAGUCCUGCUCAAUGUAAGAUGAAUAGCCGCGGUAUUUUGACUGUGCAAAGGUAGCAUAAUAAUUAGUCUUGUAAUUUAAGACUGGGAUGAAAGGAUAAACUAGAAAACUUCUUUCUUGACUGUUGUUUUUUAAUUUUACUUUUUAGUAAGAAGGCUAAAAUGUUUCUUUUAGACAAGAAGACCCUAUAAAACUUUACAUAAAAUGAUUUAAUAAAUUGAUAAUAUGUUUUGCUGGGGCGGUAAAGAGAUGAAACACUUUUAGAUUAUUAAAAUGGUAUAAUUUUUAUACCCAAAAUUUUUGAAAUUUAAAUGAGUUACUUUAGGGAUAACAGCGUUAUAUACUUUAAAAGCUCUAAUUGACAAGUGUGUUUGCGACCUCGAUGUUGGAUUAAAUUUCCUCUAUUGCGCAAGAGCGAGAGCAGGGGGUCUGUUCGACCUAUGAAAAUUUCCA